rnacentral:rRNA from 1 species
AUUGAACGCUGGCGGCAGGCUUAACACAUGCAAGUCGAGCGAGCGGCGGACGGGUGAGUAAUGUCUGGGAAACUGCCUGAUGGAGGGGGAUAACUACUGGAAACGGUAGCUAAUACCGCAUACUAUCGGAUGAACCCAUAGGGGAUUAGCUAGUAGGUGGGGUAAAGGCUCACCUAGGCGACGAUCUCUAGCUGGUCUGAGAGGAUGAUCAGCCACACAGGGACUGAGACACGGCCCAGACUCCUACGGGCGGCACCAGUGGGGAAUAUUGCACAAUGGGCGCAAGCGUGAUGCGGCAAUGCGGGUUGUAUGAAGAAGGCCUUAGGGUUGUAAAGUACUUUCAGCGGGGAGGCGUUACCCGCAGAAGAAGGACCGGCUAACUCCGUGCCAGCAGCCGCGGUAAUUC